UACGAAGGGGACUAGCGUUGUUCAGAAUUACUGGGCGUAAAGCGCACGUGGGCGGAUUCGUAAGUCAGGGGUGAAAUCCCGGGGCUCAACCUCGGAACUGCCUUUGAUACUGCGGAUCUCGAGUCCGAUAGAGGUGGGUGGAAUUCCUAGUGUAGAGGUGAAAUUCGUAGAUAUUAGGAAGAACACCGGUGGCGAAGGCGGCCCACUGGAUCGGUACUGACGCUGAGGUGCGAAAGCGUGGGGAGCAAACAGG
rnacentral:rRNA from 1 species